rnacentral:rRNA from 1 species
CGAAAGCGUGGGAGCAAACAGGAUUAGAUACCCUGGUAGUACACGCCGUAAACGAUGAGUGCUAAGUGUUAGAGGGUUUCCGCCCUUUAGUGCUGCAGCUAACGCAUUAAGCACUCCGCCUGGGGAGUACGGCCGCAAGGCUGAGACUCAAAGGAAUUGACGGGGGCCCGCACAAGCGGUGGAGCAUGUGGUUUAAUUCGAAGCAACGCGAAGAACCUUAUCAGGUCUUGACAUCUUCUGACAACCCUAGAGAUAGGGCGUUCCCCUUCGGGGGACAGAGUGACAGGUGGUGCAUGGUUGUCGUCAGCUCGUGUCGUGAGAUGUUGGGUUAAGUCCCGCAACGAGCGCAACCCUUGUUCUUAGUUGCCAGCAUUUAGUUGGGCACUCUAAGGAGACUGCCGGUGACAAACCGGAGGAAGGUGGGGAUGACGUCAAAUCAUCAUGCCCCUUAUGACCUGGGCUACACACGUGCUACAAUGGAUGGUACAAAGAGUCGCAAACCCGCGAGGGCUAGCUAAUCUCAUAAAGCCAUUCUCAGUUCGGAUUGUAGGCUGCAACUCGCCUACAUGAAGCCGGAAUCGCUAGUAAUCGCGGAUCAGCAUUGCUGCGGUGAAUACGUUCCCGGGCCUUGUACACACCGCCCGUCACACCACGAGAGUUUGUAACACCCGAAGUCGGUGAGGUAACCGCAAGGAGCCAGCCGCCUAAGGUGGGAUAGAUGAUUGGGGUGAAGUCGUAACAAGGUAGCCGUA